rnacentral:rRNA from 1 species
UACGUAGGGGGCUAGCGUUGUCCGGAAUCAUUGGGCGUAAAGAGCGUGUAGGCGGCCCGGUAAGUCCGCUGUAAAAGUCAAAGGCUCAACCUUUGAAUGUCAGUGGAUACUGCCGGGCUAGAGUCCGGAAGAGGCGAGUGGAACUCCUGGUGUAGCGGUGGAAUGCGCAGAUAUCAGGAAGAACACCAACGGCGAAGGCAGCUCGCUGGGACGGUACUGACGCUGGGGUGCGAAAGCAUGGGGAGCGAACAGG